AAGGUUUUAAUUUUGGAAAUGAUUUAUAAAAGAACCGUUGGAAUUAGGAAGUCCAAAGGGUUGGGUCGGUGUGUAUUGGCGCCUAAUUUAUACCUUCUUCAGUCACUCAUAGUCAUCCCGCUGCUCUCCAAACACAACCAGAGACAUGUUUCAGUGAAGAAGAAAAGAAGAAGAAGAGGGUUUUAUUUGUAGGCACCACCUUCUUCUCUUUUUCUUCUAGCGACACCACCGUUUUCUCUCUCUUUCAUUAUCCGGCGUUCAACAAUCCUCUGUGUUUCCCUCUUCGUCUGUUAGUUAAAGUUCUUGAUUUUUUUUUGUGUGUAUUAUUGAUUUUGAUUUUGUUUUUGUUAGGUAUUUUCAAUAGGCCAAGAAGAUUCUUCAUGUCAUUACUGGAUUCAUCGGUCAGUUUGGUUUACCAUCAUCAUCGAUCAAGAAAAAGAUCAAACACUAUACAAAAGGAUCUUUUUCCGCUGAUUUCUAGCAUGUUUCAUCAUCGCUAAAAGGAUCAAACACUAUACAAAAGGUCGCCAAAUUGAAACCAAAGCAUCCAUCAAACGAAGAUGAUUUGCUCAAGCAAGUGGUGAUGUCGGCUUUUUUGUUGUUUCUUCAACUGACAUGGAUCCUAGUCUCUUUGGUGAAUAAAAUCAUUAUAUAUGAGAAUAUUCUCAAGACAUUGGAGACAAGCCCUGUUAUGUUAUCUGGUUUCAUUAACAGAAGAGGCUAAUAAUAAUGCACAGGUUUUAGAAACCAAAUAAAGAGCUUAUGUUAUGGUGGAGAAAAGGUAAAGAAGAUCCCCUGAGAAUCAAAGUGUGAACAUAUGUGGAUGUUCCUGAGAUGAAAUAUACGUCCGAUGAUCAACCAUCAUAUCCUGUUGGUGUAAUUUGUGUGUGUUCCAAGGCUACUACAAAGAUGAAGUGCAAACAAGAAGGAUGCAUGGUUUGGCUUCAUACAUGGAGGCGGCUUAAAGAUUAUAUUCAUGGGAUAACUGGAGCAGUCAAGAAGAGCAUAUAGAAAUCUAGAAAUAAAAAAAAAACUAAAUGACCAUGUAUGAUGCAAAGUUAUAUGUAUCUUAUCUUCCUUUGGCACACAUUUAUGAAAGGUCCAACCGGAUCAUAUUGGCAUACUAUGGUUGGUGGCUCAGCUGGAUUUUAUCAAAGAGAUAACUUGAAGUUGUUGGAUGACAUGGCAUAACUGAGACCUACUAUAUAUUCUAUAGCGUUCCAGGAUAAUGUAACAGAGAUAUCAGGGAAGAGAAAUGCCACAUCGUGUGGUCUUUUGUGGGUUGAAAUAUUAAUAACAAGUGGUCAGUAUAAAGAAGAUGUCAGUUUUUACCGUUGUAUAACUGAUGAGGAUAAAACAUGCCAUUCUUGCAUACAGAAAUGCUCUUUCUGUAGAAGCCAUAUUUUGUGUGCCACACAGACAUUGCCAUUUGCAAAAGAGACAAAAGAUUCCAAUGGGAGAGGGGACCACAGACAACCACGAGGGAACUACAAAGUUAGCAGGACAGCAGGGGCAUUUUGGGAAUUAAGGCAGAUCCUCUGUCAUUUUAGGUUAUAUAAUAUGGGAGGGCCUUUGUUAGAAAGGCAGGCAGAAUAUUUUAGAAGUUUCUUCUUCUUUUGUGAGACCAUAGCAUCUCGAAUUGCUAUAUCUUUCCUGUUCUUCAUUUGUUCUUGAUUUGUUAUGAAGUCACUUAAUUGAUAACUUCUGUUGUUUUGAUAGUUAAUCAUUUGGUUCAUUUCUUUAA